rnacentral:pre_miRNA from 16 species
UUUGUCAGCAAUACGAGUAAAUCUCAUCCUAAUCUGGUCGCAAAAUUAUCAAAAUGGACAAUGCUACCGGUUCGGCUUUGGGAUUGACUCGUGUUUAGAACUGACACUUUC